AGACUUGAAGAUGAGGAACUGGUGUCCUACAUCCUUGCUGGGUUGGACAUCGACUUCAAUCCACUGGCGUCGGCCGUUGCCGCAUGUGUGGAACCUAUCACAUUGGGUAAGCUCUAUACUCAACUUGUUAGUUUUGAAC